GAAAAUGCGGCUCAGUAUUCUACGAGAUAUAACUGUGCCUGUUCAAUCUGCAGUGCCAUGUCCAAAAGGCGAUCUUCGCUGUUUCUCUGUGGAGAAAAUGCAGGAAGAAAUUAAGAACCUUAAACACAAGCUUGCUGCAUCUCAGAAAAGAGCAAAGUCUUUGGAGAGGGAGAAUGAGAACCUUCAUAAAGGUAUCGACAAAUACUUCAAUAAAGACCAGCUGCAAAGUCUUCACAAGUCUACAAUGCAAGGCACAGCAUGGCAAGAUGAAACACUAGUGAAAGCUUUGAAGCUGAGACUUUCUUGUGGCUCUCAAGGGUAUAGCGUUGUUCGAGAAUUAGCCAGCCCUCUUCCAACUGAACGCACAAUUCAACGAAGAAUUGAAGGAUUCAAGUUCACUCCUGGGAUCCUGACAGAAAUG